AUUUUAACUUUUCAAUUGAAUUGAAAUUUAAUUGUUAAGAUUAUUAAGAUUGUAAAUUGUUACCCUUUUUAAUUUGAUUAUUUUUCCCGUGUUUUUAUUGUGGUCAAUUGAGUCUAUAUUUCGGCCUUGGACUGGUUGAUUUGUUCUGUUGUUACAAUUGUAACUGUUUCUUUUUCCUUUGUCGUCUUUUUCGUUCAUUCUACUUGCUUAAUGUAAUGUGACUCUUAUACACAAUGUUAAGUAAUUUGUAUUCUUCUGCCUAAAGCAACAAUCAACUGAUUUUUUUUUCUACUCUAUUCUUUUUAUAAUUCUCUUUUUUGUAUUGAGAAAAUUUUUCGUCGUGUGACCAUUUUCAAUGGAGAUAUUGACCAUAUAAUAACCACAUGAGAGAUCAAAUAAUUGGAAAGGAUUAACGAUUAAUUGUAAUGGAAGAUUUUAUUAAUUACAAGGUUUAUUACUAUGGCUUCAAUCGAGAUGAAAUGUUGAAUGGAAUUAAUUUCCUAUUGUUUAAAGAUAUUCAAACAACGGCAAACACAACAUGAUGGAAAUAGAAACCAAUCCAUGAAGAUCCCUUUACAAUCAUCGUCAGGAUCAUAAGCUAAUAACCGAUGCCAUUUAUAUUUCUGUUCACAAGUACAAUCUUUGUUACACCGGUGUGUUUGUGUGCUCCUGCAAGAAGAAACAAAUUAUAUGAAUAUCAACCAAUUAGUGACACAAUGGUUAAUUGUACAAGAAUGUCAACAAGUUGAUCAAUUGGAUCUGAGACACUUACCGACAAACCUCUUGUUGUAUUGCUUGUUGUAGGUGUUGCGUAUUGACCACAGCUCUUAUUUUACCCGCUGAAUUGGCAGCCCAAUAUGGAGUCACUAUUUCAACAUUUGAUUCACAUGAAUCAAUCCUAAUUGUCACAAUAGAAAUGAAAAAGAAUCAAAAAAGAAAAUGGUUAAUCAACAAUUGAUAACAUAAACAGAAUGUCACUAAUCAACUACUCCAACAAUCAAAGUUUAACCUCAAUGUGAAUCAUUAUAAUAUCAUCAACAAUUGACUACUAAUUCAGAUUUUACUUGUUCCAUUUUAAAAUUGAAACGAUAAAUGUGAAUUAUUGGAAUAUAAUUGGACAAUGGUCAAUCCUAUUGAUUAUUUGUGUGUGGACAACAAGAUAUUGAACAAUUACCUUAACAAUAACAAAAGAAUAAUAGAAAAUGAUUAAGAUUAUUACAUCGUGUUUAUUGUUCGUUAUUCGUUUUCAUCUUAUAUAUUUUUUUUUCUCCAUCAGAAAAGAUAUUCAUGGAUACUCUUGAUUCUUUCUCAGAAAAAUAAAAAAGUGUCUAUACAUUGGAGGAGGAAAGUGAAUGAUGAUGGAAAACGUGAUCACUAGGCUGACCACAAGGGUAAAUAUACAAAAGCAAAGAUCAUUGUAAUGAUUGUUAAAGUUAACCUGUUACAAUUAUGUUACAACUGAUUUUAUUGUAAUAACAAUGAUAAGUUGGACUAAUUUUUGGACUGACCAAUAUGACCAUCUAAUGGACAUGGACUGGGAAUCCCUAAUGAAGUUUAUUUGAUUGUUUUCUUACCUGUUAUCAGUGAAUUCCUCGUAACUAGAUCUUGGAACUCGUAUCUUUUUAUUGUCACUAUUAUCGUGGUUAUUUGAAUUGUCACCAAAUUGCUCAUCUACAAUUAAUGGCGAUUGGUAGACAUUAAUGAAGUUAUAGAAAAAUUUGUCCAACAAUUAAUGGUCAACUUGUUGUUGUUAAGAUUAAUCGUAAUUGUGAAAAUUUACCUUGGAUAAAUUUCACCCGGUGAUCCACAAUAGAGUUGAUUACUUUUCUUAACACAAGGAUAUCCUCUAACAAUUUGUUGAUUAACAUGAUUAUUUGGUAAAUCAUUGGAUGCAAAUGAUCCGCUAUCACUUGUCGAAGAAUUUAAAUUGCCAACAGAAUUAAAUGGAUCAUCGGAAUAAACCAAAGAUUCAUGGGAUUUCACAAACAACAGUUAACAAACAAUUAAUCCAACCAUUUAACAAGUAAAUCACAUUGAACUUGUGGAAAAGAUUAAAGUUACUGACAGUCAUGGACAAUUAACCGAAAUCAGAACAAUUAAAGAAAACUAAACAACUUGUUUACAUGGGAGACGAAGGAUGGAAAAUAAGAAUCAACAACAAAUCGCAAGUUUCAAUUUCAAAGAUUUCGUUCAUUUUUACAUAUGGAGGAGUCUUAAUGUUGCUGUUAAUUUGCUUUUCCACUUGCUGUCAGUUGAUCGCCUUCAUUUACAAACUAAUUUAUCUGCAAUCAAUUUACUUUAUUUAUCAUCAUCAACAUUUCUCUCUCUCUCUCUCUCUCUCUCUCUCUCUCUCUCUCUCUCUCUCUCUCUCUCUCUCUCUCUCGUGCUUUUGUUUUGUCAUAGUUUCAUUUCCUUUCUCCAUCAAUUGAGACUCACGAUUUCGCCACAUUCUUUGAGAAGAUACAUUAUUAUAUCUUCUUCAUCUUCUCACUUGUCUUCUCCUCUGUAGUUUUAAUACCUGUUAUCUAUUUUGAUUUGUUCCUCUCUCUCUCUCUCUUUUGUUUUGACUUGUGUUCUACUUGAUGAUUAUUUGCAGGGAGAACAAGAAAAAACAGCCUAAGGCGUUUUUUUCUCUCAUUAUUAUUGAAUUUUGGACGAUCUGUUGUUUAUGGCAAACUAGCGAUUCCCUUUUGGUUAACGUUUAAGUUUCGCUGACUGAUAUUAUCUCAUAAAUAUCCAUUACUCAUUUUCUUUCUUGUUCCAUUUAAAUAUUGUUUCUUAUUCAUUAACAGCGGCCAUCAAAUUUACGUUCAGUUUUAAAUGGAGACCGAAAUUGUGGAAAUGAUGAUAAUUAUGUUGUGAUGGUGAGGGAGGUGAUUAUCAUUUGGUAUUCUUGUAAUUAUCCUUUGUUAAAUACGGUUGCACUUCCAGUUGGGCUUGAUUAAUGUUCAUCUGUAUGUUAAUUGAUGAUAUUUGAUUUUGGUUUAUAUUUUGACCCUCAGAUUUAUUGUAAAUAAAUUCCAAACCACCGGAAUAUUAUAAUUACAUUUUCUGAUUCUUUUCUGGGGAAGAUAAAAUUGAUCACUUUUACCCCAAUGACUUUAACAAAGGGUAAAGAAGAAAAGAAAAACAA